rnacentral:rRNA from 1 species
UACGGGGGGGGGCAAGCGUUGUUCGGAAUUACUGGGCGUAAAGGGCUCGUAGGUGGCCAACUAAGUCGGACGUGAAAUCCCUCAGCUUAACUGGGGAACUGCGUCCGAUACUGGAUGGCUUGAGUUUGGGAGAGGGAUGCGGAAUUCCAGGUGUAGCGGUGAAAUGCGUAGAUAUCUGGAGGAACACCGGUGGCGAAGGCGGCGUCCUGGACCAACACUGACACUGAGGAGCGAAAGCGUGGGGAGCAAACAGGG